GAUGAAGAACGUAGCGAAAUGCGAUAAGUAGUGUGAAUUGCAGAAUUCAGUGAAUCAUCGAAUCUUUGAACGCACAUUGCGCCUCCUGGUAUUCCGGGAGGCAUGCCUGUUCGAGCGUCAUUAAAAUCACUCAAGCUUAGGUUUACCUAUUGCUUGGUCUUGGAGAUGGAAGCCAAUUCAUUGGAAUCCUCUUCGAAAUCCAAUGGCGGAGACCCUUGCUCUCCCAAGUGUAGUAAUAACUUAUGUCACUGAAGGAAGCGAGAAAUCUUCCGCCGUAACCCCCAUAUUUUCUAUGAUUGACCUCGGAUCAGGUAGGGAUACCCGCUGAACUUAAGCAUAUCAAUAAGCGGAGGA
rnacentral:misc_RNA from 1 species